AUGCCCGAGCGACGCUCCCAAGCUAUGGUGAGCCCCUGCGCCACCACCCUCUCUCCUCUCCUCCCCUACUCCCUCACCCAUCUCUCUCCCCCGCAGACGUACCCCGCCGCCAGGAGGCCAGGAGGCCGCCAUGGAGGCCCGUCCCGAGCUCGCCUCGCUGCUCCUCCGGUGACCCUCGCGAGCGGCGCGACCGGAUGGGGCACGAACCCUAGCGGCGCGGUCGGAUGGGUAACGGACCCUAGCGGCGUGGCCGGAUGGGGCACGGGCGCCAGCGGUGGAGCUGGUUGGGGUGCGGCGGCCAACAGGCAUGAGAUUCAAUCGUGA
rnacentral:rRNA from 1 species